UCCCUGGUGGUCCAGUGGUAAAGACUCUGUGCUUUCAAUGCAGAGGGCGCAGCUUUGAUCUCUGGUCAGGGAA
rnacentral:tRNA from 1 species